rnacentral:rRNA from 1 species
GAUGAACGCUGGCGGCGUGCCUAAUACAUGCAAGUCAAGCGAACAGAUGAGGAGCUUGCUCCUCUGACGUUAGCGGCGGACGGGUGAGUAACACGUGGAUAACCUACCUAUAAGACUGGGAUAACUACGGGAAACCGGAGCUAAUACCGGAUAAUAUAUUGAACCGCAUGGUUCAAUAGUGAAAGACGGUUUUGCUGUCACUUAUAGAUGGAUCCGCGCCGCAUUAGCUAGUUGGUAAGGUAACGGCUUACCAAGGCAACGAUGCGUAGCCGACCUGAGAGGGUGAUCGGCCACACUGGAACUGAGACACGGUCCAGACUCCUACGGGAGGCAGCAGUAGGGAAUCUUCCGCAAUGGGCGAAAGCCUGACGGAGCAACGCCGCGUGAGUGAUGAAGGUCUUCGGAUCGUAAAACUCUGUUAUUAGGGAAGAACAAAUGUGUAAGUAACUAUGCACGUCUUGACGGUACCUAAUCAGAAAGCCACGGCUAACUACGUG